UUCUUCCAUCAUCCAGCCCAAAACCUAGAAUCUAGUCGACGCCACCUCCAUACGUUCGUUGAACCCGACAUUCAUUUCCACUAAAUCCUCAGUUUUCCUAAACCCUUUCUCAUCAACGCUAUGAAACGUUGAGAUCCAUCGAAUCCAAUGAAACCCUCAAAAUUGAGGUCCGAAUUCCAUGUAUUUUCCUUCAACCCCAAUAAAUCAUAUCGCUACACCCCCCCGCUUGCAUCAAUUCGCCUUUCCCUGAAUCGAACUGAUGAGCUCCGACCAACUUCCUCCGUGGUGAAGCUUCACUCCAAUCCCUCAACAUCACCUUCAGGGACCUUAUAUUUCUUCAUCGUCGAAGCCGAUUCUGUGCAGGACAUUAAAAAUUCCUAAAUUACCACCAAUUUACGAUUACAAUCACCAAAACCUAUUCAUAAUCCUCAGCCUGAGCCCAUCGAGAGUUCAAAUUCCCAGAAUGCCUAGCCGCCUGACUCUAAUUUUGUGAUUAAGAGUACUAAAAGUUCUCAAAAUGCUCAAGCUGAAGCCGAGAAUUCUAAGGGGAUGAAUUCGAAUGCCUAAAAAUAGAAAGCCCCGGGUCUGAGUACGCACACGAGGGAAUCAAUGGAUUACAUGGAGGUGGGUGAAUGGUUCUUAAAAAUAAAGAGAAUGGGAAUUUUUUCUGCCUUGGUGUCCCUUCAAAAAGGGGCUAGUGCUGAUUUUUGUUGAUGCAGAAAUGAAGCUUCUUUGGCUUUUCCGUUGCCUUUGCUUUUGUUUAAUCAAUAAAUUUAAAGCAAGAUAAUUUUUGGAAUAGUUUUAGGUUUAUGAGAUAAUAAGCUCCAUUUUUCGAUUUGCGGUGGUUGGUGCUGCAUCGUGUGGAUGGGUGGCGACGGUUACCCAUUUUCUGGUUUUGGGGUAGCGUAGGUGGGAGAAGAUAACAGUUAAUUUAUAUAUUUGUUUUUCAUUUGAUUAUUAUUUUAAAGCUUUUAGGGAAGACAAUAUAAUUUGAC
rnacentral:lncRNA from 1 species